UAUUGCGCAAUGGGCGAAAGCCUGACGCAGCGACGCCGCGUGGGUGAUGAAGGCCUUCGGGUCGUAAAGCCCUGUCGAGGGGAACGAAACGGUGCCGACCUAACACGUCGGUGCCCUGACGGUACCCCUAAAGGAAGCACCGGCUAACUCCGUGCCAGCAGCCGCGGUAAUACGGAGGGUGCGAGCGUUGUUCGGAAUCACUGGGCGUAAAGGGCGUGUAGGCGGUCCGUUAAGUCUGAUGUGAAAGCCCGGGGCUCACCCCCGGAAGGGCAUUGGAAACUGGCGGACUCGAGUCCCGGAGAGGAGGGUGGAAUUCCUGGUGUAGCGGUGGAAUGCGUAGAUAUCAGGAGGAACACCGGUGGCGAAGGCGGCCCUCUGGACGGUGACUGACGCUGAGACGCGAAAGCGUGGGGAGCAAAC
rnacentral:rRNA from 1 species